AUAAGGGUUAUCAAACACUACCACUGCUAGUAUGCUACUGUAUCUACACAUUAGCCUUACUUUUUUUUUUUUCAAUAAUAAUGUUCUCUUUAAUAAUACUACACACAACUGCAUCCGUUUGAAACCGAGGCUGUACUAUACUGGCUUUCACAGUCCUGGAUCGAGGGUGUCACCUUGCUUACAUUUAGCAGGGACUUGCGCAAAACUGAAGAAAACCAGAUGGUUGAGAAAGCCAGAGCUGCAAAAUAUGGAUUUUUUAAAUCUGAAGACUUAAAAUUCAGAAUAAAGACUGCAGAGAAUCAGCUGUCUGCGAGCAGGAUGGAGCCCUCCUUAUCUCAUUAGGUCCUACUGGCUCUUUCAGAG